UGGGCGUAAGGGCUCGCAGGCGGUUUCUUAAGUCUGAUGUGAAAGCCCCCGGCUCAACCGGGGAGGGUCAUUGGAAACUGGGAAACUUGAGUGCAGAAGAGGAGAGUGGAAUUCCACGUGUAGCGGUGAAAUGCGUAGAGAUGUGGAGGAACACCAGUGGCGAAGGCGACUCUCUGGUCUGUAACUGACGCUGAGGAGCGAAAGCGUGGGGAGCGAACAGGAUUAGAUACCCUGGUAGUCCACGCCGUAAACGAUGAGUGCUAAGUGUUAGGGGGUUUCCGCCCCUUAUUGCUGCAGCUAACGCAUUAUGCACUCCGCCCGGGGAGUACG
rnacentral:rRNA from 1 species